ensembl:snoRNA small nucleolar RNA, H/ACA box 64
ACUCUCUCUACUCUGCACGGUUACACUACUUAUAGUGUGACUUUCGUACCGGGGAGAGAGAGAAAAGAGCUCUUCAGGACCUUGGACUGGCCUCAUAAUGGCCUUUCUUUCCUUGAGGGGCACAACAGGC